rnacentral:rRNA from 1 species
CCUACGGGUGGCUGCAGUGAGGAAUAUUGGUCAAUGGGCGGGAGCCUGAACCAGCCAUGCCGCGUGAAGGCGAGUGCCCUACGGGCGUUAAACUUCUUUUGUGCGGGAGCAAUAAGGGCCACGCGUGGCCCGAUGAGAGUACCGCACGAAUAAGCAUCGGCUAACUCCGUGCCAGCAGCCGCGGUAAUAGGGGGGAUGCGAGCGUUAUCCGGAUUUACUGGGUGUAAAGGGCGUGUAGGCGGGCCUGUAAGUCAGAAGUGAAAUCUGGGGGGUUAACCCCCAAACUGCUUUUGAAACUGCGGGUCUUGAGUGAUGGAGAGGCAGGCGGAAUUCCCAGUGUAGCGGUGAAAUGCGUAGAUAUUGGGAGGAACACCAGUGGCGAAGCCGGCCUGCUGGACAUUAACUGACGCUGAGGCGCGAAAGCGUGGGGAGCAAACAGGAUUAGAUACCCCAGUAGUC